CGAAGGGGGCUAGCGUUGUUCGGAAUUACUGGGCGUAAAGCGCGUGUAGGCGGUUGCCCAAGUCGGGUGUGAAAGCCUUGAGCUCAACUCAAGAAAUGCACUCGGUACUGGGUGACUAGAGGACCGGAGAGGAUAGUGGAAUUCCCAGUGUAGUGGUGAAAUACGUAGAGAUUGGGAAGAACACCAGUGGCGAAGGCGGCUAUCUGGACGGUUUCUGACGCUAAGACGCGAAAGCGUGGGGAGCAAACAGGAUUAGAUACCCUGGUAGUCCACGCCGUAAACGAUGGGUGCUAGACGUUGGCGAGCUUGCUCGUCAGUGUCGCAGCUAACGCGUUAAGCACCCCGCCUGGGGAGUACGGCCGCAAGGUUG
rnacentral:rRNA from 1 species